CAUCAUGUCCUCAUUAGCUAUAUGCAUGCAUGCAUGCAAUUGCAUGCAUGCAUGCAUGCAUAUAGCUAAUGAGGACAUGAUG